GACAGAGGGUGCAACCGUUGCUCGGAAUUACUGGGCGUAAAGCGCAUGUAGGCGGUUUCGCAAGUCGGGUGUGAAAGCCCAGGGCUCAACCCUGGAAGUGCACUCGAUACUACGGAGCUGGAGUCUUGAAGAGGAGAGCGGAAUUCCCGGUGUAGAGGUGAAAUUCGUAGAUAUCGGGAGGAACACCAGUGGCGAAGGCGGCUCUCUGGGCAAUGACUGACGCUGAGAUGCGAAAGCGUGGGUAGCAAACAGG
rnacentral:rRNA from 1 species